rnacentral:rRNA from 1 species
UACGUAGGGUGCAAGCGUUGUCCGGAUUUAUUGGGCGUAAAGAGCUCGUAGGCGGUCUGUCGCGUCGGAUGUGAAAACCCAGGGCUCAACCCUGGGCCUGCAUUCGAUACGGGCAGACUAGAGUGUGGCAGGGGAGACUGGAAUUCCUGGUGUAGCGGUGAAAAUGCGCAGAUAUCAGGAGGAACACCGGUGGCGAAGGCGGGUCUCUGGGCCAAUACUGACGCUGAGGAGCGAAAGCGUGGGGAGCGAACAGG